UAGGGAUUUGCUGGGAUUCGAACCUGGUUCAUUGGUGUGAUAAUCCAGCAAACCCCCACUAGGCCACCAGGGGGAUGACUCAAAUGCAGAGGCAUGAGGCAGAAGUAGAAAAAGUAUCAAACAACAGUUUAUUUACACUAUGUACAAUAUUUACAAUCCGAUGAAAAAACAAAAAAAGAAAAUCCAAAAGCUCAGAAGAUAACAAAAAUAAAAAUAUCCAAAAGGUGCAAAGUCCAAAAACAAAAGGAAAGGCAAAAUGCUGAACGCUCAGAAGAUCCAAAAACACAGUAAAUACUUUAGGUCAAAAAGAAAAGCAAAGUGCAAAACAAAGAACACGGUACAGAGGAAACUGGAGAUAAACAUAACAGCACAAAGACUCCGUGACAAGAGGACUGAACUCAGGGGGUAUAAAUACACAAACUAAAUUGAACACAGGUGAAGAUAAUCAGGACUAAACAGGCAAUUAACACAAACACAAAACACAGGAACAGUGGCGGCCUCUAGAGGCCAAAAUAAACAUGACACGAAAAGGAAAUAACAGCGGCCUCUAGAGGCCAAAACAGUCCUAGUCCUAACACCCACGGGUCUCUGCAGACCCCUCAACCCCCCCACGGGUCUCUGCAGACCCUUCCACCCACCCACGGGUCUCUCCAGACCCCUCCACCCACGGGUCUCUGCAGACCCCUCCACCCCCUGCUCCCACCCACGGGUCUUCAACCCCAAGACAAGACAUUCGGGAUAGCAUGUUUGUUCGCAUUUUGACCCUCCUUGAGGAGGUGAAAGACACAGAGGAACCAUGGGAGGAUUCUUCAGGCACUUCUCCAAGAUUGACACAACAUUGCCAACCCCAUUUGUUCUACUCCAGAGGGUUUCCCCCUCAAGACGGUUAAUAAAGUCGACUGCAUGGAAAAAAAACUGGCAAACCCCACCAGAACUGAUUGCAGCUGUGGCGGACAUUGGAGGGGGCACUGUUGACGGGGCCACGAGAAGGAUGAUGGCGUUCCUCAUUGACCACAACCUAUCCAGACAGUACAACUUCGUGGGGAGAAACGGCAAGAGAGGAUUCAAGCCCCUCAAGCUGUUUGAAGUAAUUUAUGGAGCCUUGAAGAAGAAUGCAAUGACCAGUCAGAUCACCAGAAAGGACACAGGGAAGGCGGUCUCAAAGUGGCUGAUUGGUGCUAGGGACUGGGGGGGGCAAUCGACAGGCCGGUCAGGCCAGAGAGGCAGCCCCUCAGGAAAUUUAAAUUGUGUUGUUGUUUUUUUUCUCAGUGAUUUCUGUAAUAAAAACUUAGUUUUUAUUUUUUGUAAAUAGCAAUAAAAAAGUAAUUGUAUUACUA